rfam:Nematostella vectensis strain CH2 x CH6 NEMVEscaffold_8_Cont1795, whole genome shotgun sequence.
CCUUAACGAGAAUCUGAUACGGUUCCAGUCAGACCGGAGGGGAAAGAAGCUAAUACGGGUUUGCAACC